ACAGAUUAGAAUGAUGACAAGAGUAAUACCUUCCUAGUGAAGAUGACUUUUAUUUCAGGACUAUAUUAAGUUUCCCAACUUCUGUCAUGAUAUAGUCCAAAGAGAACCUGGACCACGCAGACAUCAAACAGAACAUGACACUGACCCAUUCUAUCAGUGACGUUGUGCUGAUUGCACAGGACAGAUGAGAGGCUCGUAUACUAGAAGUCUUGUCAUAUGAUACUUCAAAAUCUGUGAUUCCAUGAAGCCAAGAGUAGCUCUUCAACAGGAAAUGAAUGAGUGCUUCAGCUUCUGAUCCCAUUAGUAAGAAAAUACAGUCUUAUGAGCAAUGAUGGAGCUGCAUCUCUUAGGGGCAUUUGAUUCCCAAGAGACCAAAGAGCAAAGAGAAUGUCAAUUUAAAAAAAUCAAAUGUUUCCAUGACUUAGCUAUUUAACUGCUUUAAAAUGAAUGAAUGCUGCUUCAAGUUCUUUCAAAUACCCCACAUCUUGGCAACAACGAAAGGAAUUAACAUGAAGAAAAUUUACAAUCUUUCAUCACAUCGAACAAUGUCCCACAUUUGAAAAGUUCACAGCACAGAUUUCUGGUUACUGAAAGAAAGGAAAGACCUUCUUUGGAUUUGAAUAAACAGAUGGACUUUCUUCUCCUUUUUCUUAUAGUGCCCGAUUUGUGUAAAGGGAGGUGGGAAGAAAACAUCUUAGCUUAAAAGAGUGUCCUAUAAAAUAAAAGGUUUCA
rnacentral:lncRNA from 1 species